rnacentral:rRNA from 1 species
UACGUAGGGUGCGAGCGUUGUCCGGAAUUACUGGGCGUAAAGAGCUCGUAGGUGGUUUGUCGCGUUGUUCGUGAAAACCCGGGGCUCAACCCCGGGCCUGCAUUCGAUACGGGCAGACUAGAGUUCGGUAGGGGAGUCUGGAAUUCCUGGUGUAGCGGUGAAAUGCGCAGAUAUCAGGAGGAACACCGGUGGCGAAGGCGGGACUCUGGGCAGAUACUGACGCUGAGGAGCGAAAGCGUGGGGAGCAAACAGG